rnacentral:rRNA from 1 species
UACGAACUGUGCGAACGUUAUUCGGAAUCACUGGGCUUACAGGGUGCGUAGGCGGCUCAACAAGUCAGGUGUGAAAGCCCCCGGCUCAACCGGGGAACUGCGCUUGAAACUGUUAGGCUCGAGUCAGCUAGAGGUACACGGAACUUCCAGUGGAGCGGUGAAAUGUGUUGAUAUUGGAAGGAACACCGGAGGCGAAAGCGGUGUACUGGGGCUGGUCUGACGCUGAGGCACGAAAGCCAGGGGAGCGAACAGG